CUCGGGGCUUAAACCUGCAAAUCGUGAGAUCAUGACCUGAGCUGAAAUCAAGGGCUAAUGCUCUCUCUUCACUUUACACUGAGGUUUCCAGGCGUGUUUUCCAAAUUAUCCACUCCCCUGUGAUUUACCCUACCCUUCACAGGGGCCCAGAAUUAAGUCUGCAGGAAAAGGCUAGCUCAUUCUCAUGACACGGAAGGCCAUUCAAAAGGAAAGGAGUAGUUUCGAAACCCUUGUUUCUCAACUGUCAGCAUUGAAAAUCUAUGGAGCAAGUGGACUUCAACGGAUAUAAUCUUUUCGGAAAGUAACUUGAUAAUCUGCUUUACUAGUUGGAGAACUUAUUGUGUAACAUCACAGUGGUGGCAAAUUGUACAGAAUUUAUAUGACCCACAACAAGGAAAUUAUUAAAUAUAGCAUAUCCACACAGUGGAUCAUUCUAUUGCCAUUAAAAAACAUGUUUUUGAAGAAUAUUUAAUAAAUGGAAAAAUGCUCAUC